UGGAGAAUAACCAAACCUCUUGACUUCUUCUACUUUUCUUUUCUAUUUUUCAGCAACGUCAGUGAGUAAAAUAUGUUUUUUAUCUGGAAUUCCUUUUUGACAAACCAACACAGAAAGAAAAAUGAACAAAUGUGAACUAUGUGGGUAGCUGCAUGAGGUAGAAGAAUCUUCUGCACAAAAAUAUGAAAGAGUUGGUGACAAAACCUAAGAAAAGGAAAAACCAAAGCCCACAAUUAAAUAAAAAUGAAGACUGAAAUGACUUGUACCUGAAAAUUUGGGAGAGAUUUUUAACAAAACAAAAAUAGGAAAUGAAAUUUCUCAAGUUCAACUGAAAAGAUGACAUUUUUCAAAAUCCACUAGGUGAAAUUGCUCAACUUGAUAUCUGAUAAGGUAAGUCUUCUCAUUUGGUUGUUCAAUCUUGUCUUGACUAACUUCUUUCUUUUGCCUU
rnacentral:lncRNA from 1 species